rnacentral:tRNA from 1 species
GCCUUCGUGGUGUAGUGGACAGCACGCUCGACGCGCAACCGAGAGGUCCGUGGUUCGAUUCCCUGCAAAUGCG